GGUAAUUUGACUCAAAAAUUGAGAACAUACGGGCAUAAUUUCCUCUCCCCAAUUCAAGAAAUCUUUUAGAAGACCUCAAUUCUCUCUCUUCAUUAUCUUCUCUAUUGAGUAAGUGGGCACAAUCCGAACAACACAGGUUUCUACUUCUUCUUACACUUUCUUAUUUUCCGUUGCUUUAUAUCGUCUUUAGAAUGGGCUUGUGAAUCUACACAUUGAUUACAAAUCUUACCUUUUCAGAUUAGAUGUUGUGAGAUAAAUGGAUAUGUGCUUUUGAAAAGAAGGAUUUACUGUGAGAGAUUGUACAUUUGUAUUAGCUGAAAUUGUAAGUGUUCAGUGCGAUGGUAAAAAAUAAGAAUCUCACUGUUAUUGAAUUUUAACAGCCCACAAUGCAUCUUGCAACUGAAGUUGCUAGAUAAAUGGUACUACUUAGUAAUUAACUGGAUACUACUCUAAACAAUCAAUCAUAGCUCAAGUUUUCUUGAUUGAAAGUCGGAAUCAGUCUUAGUUCUUGCUAUUAGAUCUACUUCCUACUAAUGAAAUAGAAUCAGACCUUUAGGAUUAGUUUGUGCUCUUUAUGAUUGAAUACUAGCGACAACAACUUUGAUUUACGAAAUUGUAUGUGCUACUGUUUUUAGUUUAGGACUUGAUGGUUUGUUAGAAUAUAUUUAGAAAAUUCUAGAGAUAUUGUAUUUUCUUUAGGCAUUAAUUAUCAUUUGAGAAUCUAGGUUGUUCACGAUUUGGUGAAAGAUCAGAUCAAAUCAAAUUAAUUUAAAAAAUAAACAUCAAAUUUGGUUUGAAAUUCUAAAAACUGAAUUUUUGAUUUAGUUUUGAUUUUACUAAAACAUAACAAAAAAAUAAAUUGCUUUUAAUUUUGCUUUUAAUCAAAAAUCGAUUCAAACCAGAUCAUGAACACCCUAUUUGAGAUUAGAAUUUUAGAUAUGUUAAAUAAUGAACUUUUAGCCUACUAAUAUACAAUCUGAGUAGGAUUAAUUCACUUUUAAAAUAAUCCAUUUGAAUUGAUAAAUUAGUGUAGUAAGCCAUUUCUCAGAUAACAAGUAAUCCAUUAUAUACGGUCUAUAACAAUUUUAAUGUUGAGUUAGAUAAAUUAGAGUGAUCGUAGUCAAAGAGGCAAAUAAGUCAAUUAUCUCUCAUAACAAGUAAUCUAGUAUUUCGCAAAGAAUAUCUAAUUUACUUCUUUAAUCUUUGCUUCUUUUGGUGAUAGUCAAAUCCGAACUUAGCCAUUUUCUUGGUUUACAAUUAUUUUAUUUUUUGAUACUUUUUUACAUUCCUCGAGAGUCGAAGAUAAUUUUUCACGUCGUGAUUCCUUUAGUUGUCUAGCUUAAUCGAUCUCAUUCAUAAGCACGAGUCUAGAUAUAGACACAUGUUGCCCCAAGAUCUAAUUGUUAAUAGACAUAGGCUCCCUACAACCAUCGAGCAUGAAUCUAAAUAAACAUAGAGGGCAACAGAGCAAGAUAAACAAACUAAUCGGGGUAGCAAUUGUUUUCCUCCAUCCAUGGAGCAAUCUGUCUAUUCUUAGCUAUCUUAGCAUUUAUCUCCUAGAUGAUUUACCUGAUUACCUGGGCAGUAGUUUGCUUUUGGUUUAGAAAAACUCUAAAAAGCCUUUCUCUCCACACAUAGUAAGUUGUUGGCUUGUUGCAGAAUAAGAUCUUUCAUUGGCAUAUGUAACAACCUAAUAUUGUUCAUCAUUUCAUUCUUUAGGCUCUCUUAUAAUGCCUAACUAUGACAGUUACUUUUUCCAAAUGGUAGCAGUGACGUCACAAGCAAAGAACAAGUGUGCUAUUAUCUCAUGUUCAUGUUUACAGAGAAGACAAGUCUGAUCACCUACAACCCCUAUUUGAACAAUCUAUUUCAAGUUCAUCAACCAACUAAUGCAACAUGUCUUUAGAUAAAAAUCAGCCUAAGUGAUUUUUGAAGUUUAUAUGGGUGAUCGUAACUAGUACUAGUUUGAGAUUCAUUUUUUUACCUGUUGUAUGAUAUGCUUCAUGGACUUGAUGAUAUUGUCUAGUGCUUUAACUUGAAAAAUAUGGAGAACCUAGUUAUUUCCUUAAUAAAAGAAUAUUAACAAAACAACAUUGACCUUCAGAUUCAACUGGUUGUCAAAAUUUUGUGAUCAUUAAAAAUUUUAAUCAAGUUUAGAGUAUUGAACUAUAUUAAAUUUUUUGAAACAUCAACUGACCGAGAAGUUUUGAAAGGUGUCUUCAAGUGUUGGAUUUAUUUUAGUGUUGAUUCCUUUGAACUUGAAACUCUAAUUGAGUAAGCAUCAAUCUCAUUUCUUGCUAGUUUUCUCAAUUCCUUGUGUAGCAAAAUCUAUUAAGAUAUUAUUAAGAAUGGGUUCAUUGAAAAAUUUUAUGCCAUACUGCAUUAUCAUAAUUGUACAUGAAAAUGCAUAUUAUGAUAAUAAUUAUCUGAUUUUAUAUUGCCACUGUAAUUUACCGCUUGUAUUUCCUCCAGCUUACCGAAGAUCUAAGAUUAAGGUAGAUGGUUAGUAGAUAGCCAGCGUGUAGAACCUUUAUGUGGAAGACACGGGGCUAGUCUUAUCUUCCACUUUUCUCCAUACUAGAAGUUGUAAUGCCCCAGAAAUACACCCUAGACGUCGUGCUCAAGACUACAAGUAGUCCCAAGCUAAAUCUUUAAGUCUUAUAACAACUUUGGAACUCAUAAUAAAGAUAAACUGGACUUGCAAAAUCUCGAGAUACUGAAUUAAUGUCUUAACUAAAACUUAAAUAAUAUCUUACUGAAAGUCUUAAACUUGGAAAUCUUGAAAACAAACACUUUUAGGUCUAAACAGAAAACAGUCGGACAAGCCUCUACUUCUAACUAGAGAGCUACUAGGACAAGCCCCGGCUGACUCGAACCAAACAGAAAACCAAAUAAAUAAAAUAAUUCAUUAGUAAUAAUGUCUGAUAAAAUGGGUCCUCAAACUAUGAGGACUCACCAAGCAUCGGGAUGUAGGUGGAGAUGCCUGUAAACAAUCACGCUGCUGAAACUAAGCACUAGGACCUACAUUAUGAAAUAAUGUAGCACAUAGACGUAUAUGUAGACCAGUACUUCUGGAAAGUACUGAGCAUGUGGGGUUGAAUGCACAAGUAAAACAAUAACUCAAUGUGUACUUAGAUUUUCAAAUAAUGCAUUCUAAGUGUAAAUGACUCACCUUGGGCUUUAAUAAAACAAAAAGCUGAAAAAUCAUAAAACAUGAAUAAUAAAGCACACUGAAUAAACUUUGUGAGCCACACACUUAGUUUAUGAAAGCUUUACUUUUAAUCUUUCUUAGGGAGGUUCUUCUAACCGACAUAAACCAUGUGAGCUACUUAGGAGUUCAACGUCUUACCCACGUUGGGGAGAGCUGUCCUACCCUUGCCAUCGGAAUAGGACCUUAAAUUGAGUGAUCACUAUCUGUAACUUCAUCCAUAUUGGGAAUAAGCUUAACCUAUAUUGGCUUGUAGUUCUGGGGCAUGUGACCUUGGACGCAUACCCAACUCCGUGCUAAAUACUACUCCCUUAUUACUUAAUACUUAUACUUUAGGACAUCUACCUUAAAAUAGCAUAAAAGGGCUUAUAAUGAAAACUAAUUAUGCUUCUCUUUCCUUUAAACUGUAAUCAAAAUGAAAAAAGUGGAUUUCAUAUCUUAGCUGAGGAUCAAAAGAUCAAUUCUUGCUUUAAAUCUUGAUAUAAGCUUGUCAUAGAAUGCUUAAAAGCAUAAUCUUCUUGAAAUCUCAACACUUAAACUUAGGGCUUAAAAUUCAUGCUUUAAACUCAUGGUAAUUCAUAGAAAAACUUCAUGCUUUAAACUCAUGGUAAUUCAUACCAAAACUUCAUGCUUAAUAUAAUUCUUGAAAUACUUCAACAAUAACAAGUCAAGAUAGUUCAAUCUCAUUCAUAAUAUAAAUCUUGGACAUACUUUAAGCUUUAAAUCUCAUGAUAAUCACAUGCUUCAAGAAUAUAUAAACUUGGGUAUAAACCCAACUUCAAAAUAAGUAAAUAGAAUCUUAAAAUUAUGCAAUUUGGGCACAAGGGUGAAAGGAUACCCUUAUUCAUAACCUUACAUACCUUAAUGGACUUGAUUUAAUGGAUGAAAGCUUGACUUUGUAAGUCUUGGAGGUGAUCUUGAAAGCUUUUUUGAACUUCUUGAAUUAGAAACUUAAAUUCUUGUUUAUUUUAAAGAGAAAGUAAAGGACUUUUGGUGUUCUUGACAGGAGGGGUUAGGGUUUCUUGGAGAGAAAAUUGAUAGAGAAUGGGCAAAUAAUGCCUUAAUCAACGUUUAAUCUAUUGUUUUUAUGAAUUGAGUCGGUGGGAAUUGACCUAACUGCCCCUCAGAAGAUUAAACUCGUAACUAGAAUGCCAUUUAGAGGCCUAGCACGACGCGAUGACAUGCUAAUCGCUAUAUUGCGCGCGACGCAAUGCAAUAGCGAUGAGCUGCUUGAAUCGAAAUCCAAACAGACCCAAUCCUUUUCCAAAAAAUUUAAAACUUUCCCUAGACAUGCUCCUUACACCCCUGAACAUGAAUCAACUCAAAAACCAUUGUCUCAGAGUCUGGAAGGUUGACUUAAAAAUCCUCGAAGUUAGAGGGUCUUAAAAAUGGUUAAGUCCUCAACACUUAGCUAAAUUUUCAGACUUUAAGCUUCUUGUGCAAGAACUAGGAGCUAAACUAAGCUAAGCUUAAUAUAGGGUAUUAUAGUAGUGUUCCUCUUUAGUAUUUGCAUCGUAUUUUCUACUUUAUUCAUAGUUACAUGCCUUUUUGGUUGUGUCCAUCUUGCCACUUUACUGUUGUUUUUUUAUCUUUUAUUUUUCCUUUCUAGUUUGUCUUGAUUUUUUAUUUUAGUGCUUUGUAUCUUGCUUGGGCACUAUCUUUUUUUCUUGCAAAUAUGCUUCAUUUUCUUUCUUUUGAGCUGAGGGUCUAUCGAAAACAACCUCUCUACUUUCAUGAAGGUAGAGAUAAAGUAUGCGUACAUCCUAUUCUCCUUCUAACCGACUUGUGAAAUUAUGUUGGGUAAGCUAUUGUUGGUUUGUUAUGAUAUUCUGACUGAAACAUUUUUGAGGCUCAACAUUUGACUUGCAAUGCUCCAGUGCAUUUCUCUGCAUCUAGCUCUAGUUUUUGGUACCAAUAUCUUCUGAUGUUUCACUAGCUAUGUGAUUAACUUUAAUUACUUUUAGGAGAUUAAAAUUUUGAGAGUAAGCAAAAAACUGGAGAUGGAUACACCAUGAAAUUAACUAUCCUGUGAUUUAGUGUAUUUAGUUAACCAUAGAAAAUUAUAGAUAAAUUUAUCCUAAGUAAAUGACGAGCAAAAUUUAGUACUAUAUUUAAAUGAUGGUAUUUUCUAUUCAUAUUAUAUGUUAAGUGCGGAUUUUGUGACACAUAUUAAUUAUUUUUAUCCUCUCCAGUGAGCUGAAUUAAAGGGUUAUGGUAGAUGAACAACUAAACUGUCUUACUAGCAGAAAAAAAUCAGUAAAAUCGUAGUCUUAAUACAUCAAGAAACAUACUAAAAAAGUUGCAACUUUUUAACUGGAAUAUUAAAUAAAUUUGUCUUUUUAAUGUAACCUUACAGUACACUUCCUAAUCAAGCCAUAAUAGAUACUUGUAAGUUUUACAAGUUUUAUUUUUAAAAGUUAUCUCACUUGUAGUUAAUUUGCUAUUGUAUUUGAAUAUAUUUUAAAUCAAAUCAUCUUUUUAUUUUCUCUCCUCCACAGGUAUACAGAGUCCGAAUUGAAUCAGGACUAAUUUGGAAGUCAAGUUUCACGGCGUUAUUUGUAUUCUGAGAAAGAGCCUUUACUUAUCUUAGUUUAGGAGUAAUAUUUGUAUAUGUUAGUUAAGCUUUCUUAUUGGCAUAUUUUACUUUUAUUUAAGGAGCUCGUAAU
rnacentral:lncRNA from 1 species